rnacentral:rRNA from 1 species
AUUGAACGCUGGCGGCAUGCCUUACACAUGCAAGUCGAACGGCAGCAUGGAGAGCUUGCUCUCUGAUGGCGAGUGGCGAACGGGUGAGUAAUGCAUCGGAACGUACCGUGUAAUGGGGGAUAACGCAGGGAAAGUUACGCUAAUACCGCAUACGACCUGAGGGUGAAAGCAGGGGAUCGCAAGACCUUGCGUUAUACGAGCGGCCGAUGUCAGAUUAGCUAGUUGGUGAGGGAAAGGCUCACCAAGGCGACGAUCUGUAGCGGGUCUGAGAGGAUGAUCCGCCCCACUGGGACUGAGACACGGCCCAGACUCCUACGGGAGGCAGCAGUGGGGAAUUGUGGACAAUGGGGGCAACCCUGAUCCAGCCAUGCCGCGUGAGUGAAGAAGGCCUUCGGGUUGUAAAGCUCUUUCGGCCGGGAAGAAAUCGCACAGGCUAAUACUCUGUGUGGAUGACGGUACCGGCAUAAGAAGCACCGGCUAACUACGUGCCAGCCGCCGCCGUAA